GACUCCAUGGAUAGCCUGGUGGUUAAGGCAUCACAUACAAGCUGUGUCCCACUCAAGGGUCCUUGGUUCAAAUCCGAGUCUAGUCA
rnacentral:tRNA from 1 species